AUGACAGAAGGACGAUCCACCUGAAACCUCGUGAGCCCCGUCAUUCUCUGUUUCGCAAUGUGGCCGCUGCAUCUGAACCCAACAAAGUAAAUCGUGUCAUCGCUGGUCCUCACGACACCACAGGACAUGGAAAAGAAGCACCGACCGUUGCUUCUACUACGGCAGUUCCUCACGGUAACAUCCGACUCGCUCCAUGCAAAGCUAGUAAGGUGGAGGAUGUGAAGCCGACUCCAACGCCCGCACCUGCUGUGGCUUCCCCAGAAAGUGCAAAAGGUGAUCCAAAUCAUCCGCUGGACGGGCGUAGUCUCGAGCGGAAAGCGGCCAUCCAGAGAGAGAGAGCGAGAAGGCUCGUGGAACAGAAUAGAAUGUUCGCUUCUAGGAAGCUCUCUCUCGUCCUCGAUUUGGACCACACCCUCCUCAAUUCAACAAAGGUAGAACACAAACGUCCACACCUUGGUUUCUGCCCUACUGUUUACGCACGUUGACGAUGACUUGCUGAAACAGUGAUCUGCCCCUCUAGUUUGUAUAUGUGGAUCCAAUCCAGGAAGAGCUUUUGAAGAGGAAAGAAGAGCAAGACCGAGCGAAGCCACAACGACAUCUCUUCCGCCUCCGACACAUGGGAUUGUGGACUAAACUGAGACCCGGCAUCUGGAAUUUUCUGGAGAAGGCUAACGAGCUUUACGAGCUGCAUAUAUACACUCUGGGAAGCAGGCCGUACGCUACCGCGAUGGCAAAGCUGCUUGACCCGACCGGGUCUUUGUUUGGCGGGCGUGUCAUGUCGGGGAGAGACGAUGGUGAUAGAAUGGUCUCCCAGCGCAAAGAUCUGAAAGGGGUUUUAGGACUGGAAUGUGCCGCGGUGAUCAUGGACGACACUCCGAGUGUGUGGCCGAGUAGCCAACCCAACUUGAUUGCUGUAGAGAGAUAUCAUUUCUUCCCAAGCAGCAGACGCAAAUUUGGAGUUCCCGGGCCUUCUCUUCUGGAAAUGGAUCGUGACGAGAGGGAGGAAGACGGCACUCUUGCGUCUUCUUUGGCGAUCAUCCAGCGAAUUCACGACGACUUCUUCUCGCGUCACGCGGACGGUGAUUUUAGAAAGCUACUGUUACGAAGCUAAAGGACUGAGCUUCGCCGCUGGAAAAGCGAUGUGUUUCGUUGAGCUGUCUCGCUCCCAACAAGCAGUUGGCACGUUCGCCGCCUCCGAUUAGGAGGGGUGAAAUGACACACCCAAGGAGGUGCGUCGGAUCCAUGUAAAUAAAAGGAUUACAAAACGUGAAUA